AGACUUAGUGGCGGACGGGUGAGUAAUGUAUGAGCAACCUGCCUUCAAGAGGGGAAUAACAGUCGGAAACGACUGCUAAUACCGCAUAAUAAAGCGUAGUCGCAUGACAAUGCUUUCAAAGGAGCAAUCCGCUUGAAGAUGGGCUCAUAUCUGAUUAGAUAGUUGGUGAGGUAACGGCUCACCAAGUCUGCGAUCAGUAGCCGGACUGAGAGGUUGAACGGCCACAUUGGAACUGAGAUACGGCCCAGACUCC
rnacentral:rRNA from 1 species